GGGCCUGUAGCUCAGUUGGUUAGAGCACGCGCUUGAUAAGCGCGGGGUCAUAAGUUCAAGUCUUAUCAGGCCCA
rnacentral:tRNA from 8 species